UCCAGGGACUAGUGGUUAGGCCUCGGUGCUCUCACCGCCAUGGCCCAGGUUCGAUUCCCAGCCAGGGAA